rnacentral:rRNA from 1 species
CUCGCGGGCAUACGCGAGGCAGCAGUGGGGAAUUUUGUGCAAUGUGGGAAACCCUGACCCAGCGACACCGCGUGAACGAAGAAGCCCUUUGGGGUGUAAAGUUCUGUCGGCUGGAACGAAAAAAAUGACGGUUCCAGCAAAGGAAGCAUCGGCUAACUACGUGCCAGCAGCCGCGGUAAGACGUAGGAUGCAAGCGUAGUCCGGAUUUACUGGGCGUAAAGAGUUAGUAGGCGGUUCGUUAAGUCUGAUGUUAAAGAUCGGGGCUCAACCUCGGGAGUGCAUUGGAUACUGGCAGACUGGAGUGUGGUAGAGGUUAGUGGAAUUCCCAGUGUAGCGGUGAAAUGCGUAGAUAAUGGGAAGAACACCAGUGGCGUAGGCGACUAACUGGGCCAUAACUACGCUGAGGAACGAAACCCAGGGGAGCGAAAGGGAUUAGAUACCCCAGUAGUCA